rnacentral:lncRNA from 1 species
CAUAGAAUGCCCAUUAUAGAACUAUAGUUUGUCUAUAGUUCCAAUGGAAUGGAACAGAGGGUCAGUAAGGCAGGGAGAGGACCAACACAAUGGCACUGAUCCUCAAGAAUAAAUCUCCAAGAACGCCUUGGCGUGGCCACUUCAGGACCCUUUCCUGCAGUGCGUGAAGCAGAUCCAGGUGCUGCUGGACGAGGUACCGUAAAGAGCCAGGGAAGAGGCUUGAAACAGAAUAGAGACGGAAUCACACAAACAAGGUGUAGAGAAGAAAGGACCCUACAAAAAUACAUGCAGCAGGGCCCAUUCUCCCAGCCAUCCAACAUACUGUGAGCACACCAGAUGCUGGAGCACUCCUGGGAAGAGAAACAGAAAGAGGAGGAGGAAGGGUGCCAAAAACAAUGUCUUAUUUGGCCAUUUUUCCCUUGACCCUAAUGCUAGAAAGGAAGGAGAGAGGGAAGCUUAAAUAAUUUAUAAAAUCCUGGUGAAUUGUCAAUUAAGUAAAUCCUUUUUAAAAUUUUGUUUUCUUUUAUCUUCUUUUGUUUCUUUUCUAUUAUUUAGUCCUUUAUUACCUGCACUACACAGAUGUAAAAGUAGGUAACUUUUGAAUUAAACUAUACAGUGUGUGAUCCACGGAAAACUUACAUCAUGCUACAUUCACCUGCAAGUUUUUGGCAAAUGUGAAUUUAUUAGUCAUUGAAAUAAGCCAGAAAAAAUGAAACAUACUGGUUUUGUCUUAAGCUUCCCUAGCCCUUCUCUCUCCUUGGUUCAAAUGAGUCACUGACCUGCUCUAGUACACAUCUUGGAAUCUUCGUAACUUCAUAACUUUAUCUUUUGUGAGUUCUUUCAUGCCUGGUUUGAAACUAAGGAAGUGGAAGCAGGGAAGAUAGAAGUGGAAAAUAAUGGAAUUGCUGGAAGAAAAGAAAACUAAGAGAAGAGUCACUUACCAGGAC